GCCUACGGCCAUGCUACCAUGAACAAGCCCUAUCCUGUCUGAUCUCAUAAGCUGAGCAGGGUCAGGUCUGGUUAGUACUUGGAUGAAAGACCACCCAGGAAGUCCGGGUGCUGUAGGCA
ensembl:rRNA 5S_rRNA 5S ribosomal RNA